rnacentral:rRNA from 1 species
UAGGGAAUAUUUCGCAAUGGACGAAAGUCUGACGCAGCCACGCCGCGUGAGUGAGGAAGGCCGUCGGGUUGUAAAGCUCUGUCAUUCGGGAAAAACGGCUAUCCGGGGAAAGUUCGGGUAGCGUGAUGGUACCGAAGGAGGAAGCACCGGCAAACUCUGUGCCAGCAGCCGCGGUAAUACAGAGGGUGCAAGCGUUGUUCGGAAUUACUGGGCGUAAAGCGUGCGUAGUCGGUAUUGAUAGUCGCGGGUGAAAUCCCAGGGCUUAACCCUGGAACUGCCUGCGAGACCUCAGUACUAGAGUGUGAGAGGGGAUAGUGGAAUACCCAGUGUAGCGGUGAAAUGCGUAGAGAUUGGGUAGAACACCGGUGGCGAAGGCGGAUAUCUGGCUCACAACUGACGAUCAGGCACGAAAGCGUGGGGAGCAAACAGG